UACGAACUGUGCGAACGUUAUUCGGAAUCACUGGGCUUACAGGGUGCGUAGGCGGCUUGUUAAGUCGGGUGUGAAAGCCCCCGGCUCAACCGGGGAAUGGCGCCCUAAACUGGCGAGCUGGAGUGAGAUAGGGGUGUGUGGAACUUCCGGUGGAGCGGUGAAAUGUGUUGAUAUCGGAAGGAACGCCGGUGGCGAAAGCGGCACACUGGAUCUUGUCUGACGCUGAGGCACGAAAGCCAGGGGAGCGAACGGG
rnacentral:rRNA from 1 species